GACGCCAGUCUGCAUGGAGCCGACCUUGAAAUACCACCCUUUAAUGUUUGAUGUUCUAACGUUGACCCGUAAUCCGGGUUGCGGACAGUGUCUGGUGGGUAGUUUGACUGGGGCGGUCUCCUCCUAAAGAGUAACGGAGGAGCACGAAGGUUGGCUAAUCCUGGUCGGACAUCAGGAGGUUAGUGCAAUGGCAUAAGCCAGCUUGACUGCGAGCGUGACGGCGCGAGCAGGUGCGAAAGCAGGUCAUAGUGAUCCGGUGGUUCUGAAUGGAAGGGCCAUCGCUCAACGGAUAAAAGGUACUCCGGGGAUAACAGGCUGAUACCGCCCAAGAGUUCAUAUCGACGGCGGUGUUUGGCACCUCGAUGUCGGCUCAUCACAUCCUGGGGCUGAAGUAGGUCCCAAGGGUAUGGCUGUUCGCCAUUUAAAGUGGUACGCGAGCUGGGUUUAGAACGUCGUGAGACAGUUCGGUCCCUAUCUGCCGUGGGCGCUGGAGAACUGAGGGGGGCUGCUCCUAGUACGAGAGGACCGGAGUGGACGCAUCACUGGUGUUCGGGUUGUCAUGCCAAUGGCACUGCCCGGUAGCUAAAUGCGGAAGAGAUAAGUGCUGAAAGCAUCUAAGCACGAAACUUGCCCCGAGAUGAGUUCUCCCUGACCCUUUAAGGGUCCUGAAGGAACGUUGAAGACGACGACGUUGAUAGGCCGGGUGUGUAAGCGCAGCGAUGCGUUGAGCUAACCGGUACUAAUGAACCGUGAGGCUUAACCUU
rnacentral:rRNA from 1 species